rnacentral:rRNA from 1 species
UACGUAGGUGGCUAGCGUUGUCCGGAUUUACUGGGCGUAAAGAGCGCGCAGGCGGUCGUUCAAGUCGAGUGUGAAAGCCCCCGGCUCAACUGGGGAGGGUCACUCGAUACUGAUCGACUCGAAGGCAGGAGAGGGAAGUGGAAUUCCCGGUGUAGUGGUGAAAUGCGUAGAUAUCGGGAGGAACACCAGUGGCGAAGGCGACUACCUGGCCUGUUCUUGACGCUGAGGCGCGAAAGCUAGGGGAGCAAACGGG